AGAGUUUGAUCCUGGCUCAGGACGAACGCUGGCGGCGUGCUUAACACAUGCAAGUCGAACGGAAAGGCCCUGCUUUUGUGGGGUGCUCGAGUGGCGAACGGGUGAGUAACACGUGAGUAACCUGCCCUUGACUUUGGGAUAACUUCAGGAAACUGGGGCUAAUACCGGAUAGGAGCUCCUGCUGCAUGGUGGGGGUUGGAAAGUUUCGGCGGUUGGGGAUGGACUCGCGGCUUAUCAGCUUGUUGGUGGGGUAGUGGCUUACCAAGGCUUUGACGGGUAGCCGGCCUGAGAGGGUGACCGGCCACAUUGGGACUGAGAUACGGCCCAGACUCCUACGGGAGGCAGCAGUGGGGAAUAUUGCACAAUGGGCGGAAGCCUGAUGCAGCAACGCCGCGUGCGGGAUGACGGCCUUCGGGUUGUAAACCGCUUUCGCCUGUGACGAAGCGUGAGUGACGGUAAUGGGUAAAGAAGCACCGGCUAACUACGUGCCAGCAGCCGCGGUAAUACGUAGGGUGCAAGCGUUAAUCGGAAUUACUGGGCGUAAAGCGCACGCAGGCGGUUUGUUAAGUCAGAUGUGAAAUCCCCGGGCUCAACCUGGGAACUGCAUCUGAUACUGGCAAGCUUGAGUCUCGUAGAGGGGGGUAGAAUUCCAGGUGUAGCGGUGAAAUGCGUAGAGAUCUGGAGGAAUACCGAUGGCGAAGGCAGCUUCCUGGCAUAAUAUUGACACUGAGAUUCGAAAGCGUGGGUAGCAAACAGGAUUAGAUACCCUGGUAGUCCACGCCGUAAACGAUGAGUGCUAAGUGUUAGGGGGUUUCCGCCCCUUAGUGCUGCAGCUAACGCAUUAAGCACUCCGCCUGGGGAGUACGACCGCAAGGUUGAAACUCAAAGGAAUUGACGGGGGCCCGCACAAGCGGUGGAGCAUGUGGUUUAAUUCGAUGCAACGCGAAGAACCUUACCUGGGCUUGACAUAUAGAGGAUCGCUACAGAGAUGUGGUUUCCCUUGUGGCUUCUAUACAGGUGGUGCAUGGUUGUCGUCAGCUCGUGUCGUGAGAUGUUGGGUUAAGUCCCGCAACGAGCGCAACCCUUGUUCACUGUUGCCAGCACGUUAUGGUGGGGACUCAGUGGAGACCGCCGGGGUCAACUCGGAGGAAGGUG
rnacentral:rRNA from 1 species